CGCCUUGCCAGCCCGCUCAGAACUCAAAUGAAGUUGACGGGACCCCGCACAAGCGGUGGAUCAUGUUGUUUAAUUCGAUGAUACGCGAAGAACCUUACCAGGUCUUGACAUCCCCCGCGAUGCUUUAGAGAUAAAGCGGAGGUAUUCGGGGAGACAGGUGGUGCAUGGUUGUCGUCAGCUCGUGUCGUGAGAUGUUGGGUUAAGUCCCGCAACGAGCGCAACCCCUAUUGCUAGUUACCAUCAUUAAGUUGGGGACUCUAGCGAGACUGCCAGUGAUAAACUGGAGGAAGGUGGGGAUGACGUCAAAUCAUCAUGCCCCUUAUGACCUGGGCUACAAACGUGAUACAAUGGCUGGAACAAAGGGAUGCGAAGCAGUGAUGUGGAGCGAAACCCAUAAAAACAGUCUCAGUUCGGAUUGAAGUCUGCAACUCGACUUCAUGAAGUCGGAAUCGCUAGUAAUCGCGGAUCAGAACGCCGCGGUGAAUACGUUCUCGGGGUUU
rnacentral:rRNA from 1 species